rnacentral:RNase_P_RNA from 1 species
AGGAGUGGACGGGUGUCCACCUGUCAGGUUCUACUGACAGGAGGAAAGUCCGGACUCCUGCAGGGAGGGUGGUUCCUAACAGGAACAGGUAGCAAUACCUGGAAAGUGCCACAGAAAAAAUACCGUCCACCAUAAUUAUUUUAUGGUGGAUAAGGGUGAAAAGGCGAGGUAAGAGCUCACCGUCUGCUGGGUGACCAGCAGAGCAAGGCAAACCCCACCCGGAGCAAGGUCAAGUAGAACCCAUGGGUUCCCUGCCCCAAAGGGUUCGGGUAGACCGCUUGAGUCAAAAGGCGACUUUUGACCAAGAUGAAUGGGCACCUAAAACAGAAUCCGGCUUACGGUCCACUCCUUCAG